rnacentral:rRNA from 1 species
UACGACUACAUAUCAGGCAUAUCAAUAAGCGGAGGAAAAGAAACUAACAAGGAUUCCCUUAGUAACGGCGAGUGAAGCAGGGAAGAGCUCAAAUUUGAAAUCUUCAAGGUUCUACCUUGACGAAUUGUAGUUUAAAGAAGUGUUUUCUGUUAGAUGAGUAGCAAAAGUUCCUUGGAAUAGGGACAUCAUAGAGGGUGAGAAUCCCGUAUUUGACCGUUAUCAUUUCCUAGCUGUGUGAUACACUUUCAAAGAGUCGGAUUGUUUGGGAAUGCAGUCCAAGAUGGGUGGUAAAUUUCAUCUAAAGCUAAAUAUUGGCGAGAGACCGAUAGCGAACAAGUACCGUGAGGGAAAGAUGAAAAGAACUUUGAAAAGAGAGUUAAACAGUACGUGAAAUUGUCAAAAGGGAAGCGUUUGACACCAGUGUUGUUUAGUAUGAAAAUCAAUUCAAUAGUUUUUGAUUCUAAGUAGUAUUGACUUCAUCAGCUUGCUGCUUUCUUCUCAGAAAUUAUUGAAUGCACUUUUCAGUUAACAAGUCAACAUCAAUUUCUUUUGUUGUAAAAGGGUAAGAGGAAGGUGGCUUGCGCUUCGGCUCAAGUGUUUAUAGCCUUUUAUCUCUGCAAUCGGAGAGAUUGAGGUCUGCAGCGUAGAUCCUUCGGGGUUAGAUACAUUGGUGCUAAGCUAUAGCCUUGUAUAGACAACUUGUUGACUAUGCUCAGUCAUGUAGCUUACUCGCUGAUGCUAUUUUACCUACGCUUAGGAUGUUGAGUAGCGACAUACGCAC